UACGUAGGGUGCAAGCGUUGUCCGGAAUUAUUGGGCGUAAAGAGCUCGUAGGCGGUCUGUCGCGUCGGAUGUGAAAAUCCAGGGCUCAACCCUGGACCUGCAUUCGAUACGGGCAGACUAGAGUUCGGUAGGGGAGACUGGAAUUCCUGGUGUAGCGGUGAAAUGCGCAGAUAUCAGGAGGAACACCGGUGGCGAAGGCGGGUCUCUGGGCCGAUACUGACGCUGAGGUGCGAAAGCGUGGGGAGCAAACAGG
rnacentral:rRNA from 1 species